UAGGGAAUCUUCGGCAAUGGGGGCAACCCUGACCGAGCAACGCCGCGUGAGUGAAGAAGGUUUUCGGAUCGUAAAGCUCUGUUGUAAGUCAAGAACGGGUGUGAGAGUGGAAAGUUCACACUGUGACGGUAGCUUACCAGAAAGGGACGGCUAACUACGUGCCAGCAGCCGCGGUAAUACGUAGGUCCCGAGCGUUGUCCGGAUUUAUUGGGCGUAAAGCGAGCGCAGGCGGUUUGAUAAGUCUGAAGUUAAAGGCUGUGGCUCAACCAUAGUUCGCUUUGGAAACUGUCAAACUUGAGUGCAGAAGG
rnacentral:rRNA from 1 species